ACGCUCUGGCGCAGGGCCACUUCAUUCUCAUAUCUGAAACAAGCAGAAUACAAACCCUGGGUAUACAGACCAAUGGAGGAAUGCAGACCUGGACGAAGACCGACUAUAAAUACAGAUUUGAUUUCAUAUCCUGGCACCGUUUGUAAUACACUAAUUCAUGGAGGAAUAGCAAUAGUUUGAUGCAAAGAGUUAACUGUUACUUUAAGACACAUCUUCCUUUAAAAGUCGCCCCAAAGAUAUUACAGUCAAAACUUCAAUAGCUCAGAGCUGUUUUGCUGUGGAUGAGUUCAGGAAAAUAUAAAUGCUGUUGUGGGCCUCCAGAGUCAUUGUUGGAAACACCUCCUUUCUUAGUACCACACCCACUCAACUUACUUCAGCCUGAAGUCGUCAGCUGCCAGCCUGGCAUUGUCGAUCUGCAGCAGGACAUUGGCAUUUUCAGUAGUCAGGGUUCUCAGUCAUUCUGUCCUCCUGGAAGACAGGCAACACACAUGCUCGGUGUAAAAGACAUGCCCUGCCUUCAUAAACAUCUUUGAUGAGACCUGGGUCCACUAGACAUGGAAAAACAAACAGCUCGUAGUUUGACUCUUCCAGAGCCCGGACCUUGUCCAUGUAGGAAGCCAGACGGUCAUUCAGGUUCUGCAUGGUCACUUUCUCAUUUCCGGAGAGAAGGCCGCCACCAUCUCCUCCAAAUCCACCACCAAAGC